AGAUCGGUCACAUGUACCGGACACGGUGG
rnacentral:sRNA from 1 species